AACGAACGCUGGCGGCGUGCCUAACACAUGCAAGUCGAGCGCGAAAGUCCUUCGGGAUGAGUAGAGCGGCGCACGGGUAAGUAACACGUGGAUAAUCUGCCCUUAGGUCUGGAAUAACCCAGGGAAACUUGAGCUAAUACCGGAUAAUGUUCAGUAACGAGAGUUGCUGGAAAAAAGCAGGGGACCUCUUCGGAGACCUUGUGACAAAGGAUGAGUCCGCGGCCCAUCAGCUAGUUGGCGGGGUAAAGGCCCACCAAGGCGAAGACGGGUAGCUGGUCUGAGAGGAUGGCCAGCCACACUGGAACUGAGACACGGUCCAGACUCCUACGGGAGGCAGCAGUGGGGAAUAUUGCGCAAUGGGGGAAACCCUGACGCAGCAGCGCCGCGUGUGUGAUGAAGGUCUUCGGAUCGUAAAGCACUUUCGACUGGGACGAAAAACCUUUGGCUAACAUCCAGGGGCCUGACGGUACCAGGAGAAGAAGCACCGGCUAACUCUGUGCCAGCAGCCGCGGUAACAC
rnacentral:rRNA from 1 species